UUUGCUUCGCCCAUUUCUGGCGAUCAUCAAAUUAUUUUUCUUAUUUAUUUAGUAUUAAAAUAACUUUUCUUUUUAUCACUUUUAUUUAUAUAAAACGAUAUCAUUAAAUAUUUUUUUUAGGAAUUCCUCGAAAAAUCCAGCGCCGCGAACUCCGGCGGCGGUGUCGAUGGGAUCGCCACCAUGCCCAGAGGUGCGGCGAAGCUCGCCGGCUCCAUGGAUUACGAGAUGAGGUCAAUCAGGCUUUGUGCUGUGUGUUGGUGUGGAUCAAGCUUCUGCGAGCCUGAGUCAGCAACCAUAUCUUCUGGAAUGGUUCUUGCACUAGGUCAGACGGGCGUGGUGAACACACUCAAGCUACUAAUCUACUAUGUGAGUCAAAAAUCGGGUCUAGUGUUUGUGCACACGCAAAAGUUCUAUAAUUGAGAACUUUCAUUAUGUCUUUUGUGUGGUGAGAUAAUGGAAUUGCAUUUGAUUUGCAUUCAUCUUC